CAAUAACAAGGCGGGCUGGACACCCCCAGCCGGGCACUGCUUCACGGCGUGCGCGGCUGGGCCGGANCCUGCUGAAUUAUUCACCCGUGUCUUUUGCGUACUUCUUGUUUCCUGGGUGGGCUCGCCCGCCAUCAGGACCAACCACAAACCUUUUGCAAUAGCAAUCAGCGUCAGUAACAACGUAAUUAAUUACAACUUUCAACAACGGAUCUCUUGGUUCUGGCAUCGAUGAAGAACGCAGCGAAAUGCGAUACGUAGUGUGAAUUGCAGAAUUCAGUGAAUCAUCGAAUCUUUGAACGCACAUUGCGCCCUUUGGUAUUCCAAAGGGCAUGCCUGUUCGAGCGUCAUUUGUACCCUCAAGCUUUGCUUGGUGUUGGGCGUCUUUUGUCUCCAGUUCGCUGGAGACUCGCCUUAAAGUCAUUGGCAGCCGGCCUACUGGUUUCGGAGCGCAGCACAAGUCGCGCUCUUUGCCAGCCAAGGUCAGCGUCCAGCAAGCCUUUUUUUUCAACCUUUGACCUCGGAUCAGGUAGGGAUACCCGC
rnacentral:rRNA from 1 species